AAGAAAUGUUAAAAGUGAUGAAAGGCAAAGAACUACAACCAAGACUGCUCUACCAAGCAAGGCUAUAAUUAAAAUCUAAGGAGAGAUAAAAAGUUUCCCAGACAAGGAAAAGCUAAAAGAGGUCAUCACCACUAAACCAGUACUACAAGAAAUGUUGAAGAGACUUCUUUAUGAAGAAAACAUUAAAAAUAUAAAUAAUAUAUAGGAAAGCAAAAAAUGCUCAUUUGACAAAGGCAAAAAGUAAAAACACUAGAUCAACCAACUAUAAAGCUAGUACAAAGCUUAAAAGACAAAGUAGGAAGAUGAUGUGUAAUUACAACAAUAAAUUAAGGGAUACCACAUACACAGACAAAAAUGUAAACAAUAAAGAUAAAACCAUAAAUGUGGAAAGGGUGAUUAAAAACUGUAGUGUUUUUAGAAUGUGUUCAAACCUAAGCAACCAUCAACUUAAAAUUGACUAUUAGAAAUACAGUUUAGUAUAUAUGAAGCACAAUAUGUAAAAAACCAAAAACCUAUAGGAGAUACACAAGAAAUAAAGAGAAUGGAAUCCAAAUAUAACAACACAGAAAAUCAUCAACAUACAAAAGAAAGGAAGAGAAUAAGGAACAGAAAAGAACUACAAAAUUAAUCAGAAACAAUUAGUAAAAUGGCAGUACAAACUGAUCAAUAACUACUUUAAAAGUAAAUGAACUAAAUUCUUCAAUCAAAAGACAAGUCAUGGCUAAGUUAA